rnacentral:rRNA from 1 species
AUGAACGCUGGCGGCGUGCCUAAUACAUGCAAGUCGAGCGAACAGACGAGGAGCUUGCUCCUCUGACGUUAGCGGCGGACGGGUGAGUAACACGUGGAUAACCUACCUAUAAGACUGGGAUAACUUCGGGAAACCGGAGCUAAUACCGGAUAAUAUAUUGAACCGCAUGGUUCAAUAGUGAAAGACGGUUUUGCUGUCACUUAUAGAUGGAUCCGCGCCGCAUUAGCUAGUUGGUAAGGUAACGGCUUACCAAGGCGACGAUGCGUAGCCGACCUGAGAGGGUGAUCGGCCACACUGGAACUGAGACACGUUCCAGACUCCUACGGGAGGCAGCAGUAGGGAAUCUUCCGCAAUGGGCGAAAGCCUGACGGAGCAACGCCGCGUGAGUGAUGAAGGUCUUCGGAUCGUAAAACUCUGUUAUUAGGGAAGAACAAAUGUGUAAGUAACUAUGCACGUCUUGACGGUACCUAAUCAGAAAGCCACGGCUAACUACGUG